UACGUAGGGGGCUAGCGUUGUCCGGAUUUAUUGGGCGUAAAGGCUCGUAGGCGGCCAACUAAGUCGGACGUGAAAUCCCCAGGCUCAACCUGGGAACUGCGUCCGAUACUGGAUGGCUUGAAUUCGGGGAGAGGGAUGCAGAAUUCCAGGUGUAGCGGUGAAAUGCGUAGAUAUCUGGAGGAAUACCGGUGGCGAAGGCGGCAUCCUGGACCGACAUUGACGCUGAUGAGCGAAAGCCAGGGGAGCAAACGGG
rnacentral:rRNA from 1 species